rnacentral:lncRNA from 1 species
CUGGGCCCCUCUUCUUUUGGGUUAACAGGUUUUCUUUGGGACCGUGGCUUCUCGGUUCCUUAUAUAAGGCAGCAAGUUUUUUUUUUUUAGGGUACUGUGAGGAAGGACCCCGAUCGCCGCCCCCUGCUCUCUUGCUCUCGGUCUUUUGCUCUUGGUGUUCCAGCUUCAAAAGACAUCUUCUUCCGCUCGCUGGGGACUCUUCAUCUUCAGCCACUACUCCUCACAGUGGGCCUCUUGUUUCCGUGAACCCUCUUUCUUCUUUGCUGUUCACAGCAUAUGCAACAAGGGAAGGCACUUGCUGCCGAACCACGUAAAUCUGGUAUCUUUGUGCUUGUCUAUUCAUGCCUGUGAUGUGUUUGGUGAAAUGUCUGAAUGAGAGUAACUGUUAAUUGUUAAGCCGGAUAGAUUAAUUAAUGUGCCCAAGUAAUCACAACACUUAUCACCAGUAGCCUCAGACAAUUGAGAUAACUAUCAGUGCCACCAAAGGCAGCUACACUUGAACAUGAUACAAGGGUAGA